UUAUGAGUAAGGUCCACUUUAUGGAUCAGCCCAUUUCUGACUUCCACAUCUGUGCAGAAGUCAGAAACGGACUAGAGAUCAGAACCUGUAGCUUGGGUCUCCAACUCCCCCGCAGAACACAGCACACUCUGCGGGCAGAGCCCAGGAUUGCUGGGUUGUGAAGCAAGAUAAAUUACAUUUUACUGGGGUUGUUUAACUGUAUGGAAAAAAAAAAGUGAAGAAUGGCGAUCCCUCUGGAUGGUUGGCGCUCAACGAGGGCGAACUUGAAGAACAAAAAACACUUUAUGAAAUGAAACAUGUCUUACGCUCUUUCUAAGCUUUCCUGAAGGAUUAGAACUUCAGAUCAUGAAAAACUUCCGUUAUGGACUCCAUCUGUGUUGACUUAGCCACCCUCAGGAGAGUUAAUGAUGGGAAGCACUAGAAAUGGACUCUCUCUCUGCGGAAUACAGAAAGCUGUUCCAAAUAUCUCGGAGGCAUUCAGAAACAGUGAUAGGCCUUUCAGUAUUUGUGAACUCAAGAUCACCGUGAGUUGUCUGACUGCAGAUUAUCAGCAAGAUAACAACACUGGGUGGAGCAAGAACUAGAGCAAUCCAGCCUAUUAAUUCAUAUACAUGUCUGAAGAGGAACAACUGCCUAAAGUAAUGUUCCCAUGCCCUAUAAUUUCACUACAGCUUCUGAAUAAACAGUGAGAUGGUGAGAGGACUAUGGAUUCUGCCAGGAAUGAUUCAUCCAUCCCAGAUGUUGAAUGCUAAUUCAGCAUAAUAAACUUACUUCCACUAAUUCAAUUCAAAUUUAAUAGUCAUUCACCAAUUCAUCAAUACUCAAGAAUACAGCAAAACAGGACCGUGUUACUCCGGGUUAAAGGUGCAAAACAGAGGACCAGCAGUUACACACAGCACAACGCAACCAUAGCACAUAAAAGAUGGAAAUAUACGGCCAUUCAGUAAGUGAGUCCAAACUCGGGCCGUCAAGCAUCGCCAAAACCUGCAGACAAUCACAACAGAGCUUGUCUUUUGCCGAGUGAACACUGGGGGCAGCACUGACUCCAGUCUGGACAUUGUGCUACACUGCUGCCUGAGGGCAAUUGUUUUUUGCAGAAUGUGAUGUAAGAGGCAUGGUUCUCUAAAGUGAUGACUAGCAGGUUCUCCUUGACGAGAGAUCAUCCCCUGAGAAGUAUCUUCUCCCCUUGUUGUAAAUCCACUUCCUGGAUCUCACACUAAAGACCAAGAUGAAUCUACUGGCAUGUGUCUUGGACUUACCAACUGUAAGCUUCAACAAAACAUGCCACCAGAGGAUACUAGCGAUCAAAAUCACCACCAGUCUACAGAAGUCAUAAUGCAGUAGGCAGGAAGUGAUACACCCACACAAAGAUGCAUGCACUGAAUCAGCAUCACUCUUCCAGGAGGAGCUAUGAAAUGUUUUGUCAUUACAGCUGUAAGCCUUGUGAAUUUGAAAGGAGAUGACUGCAUCAACUGCCAAAUAUCAAACUUUUCAAUAAUGGUAACUAGGAAUGUCCAUUAUGUAGUCAUAUUUCUGUGAGUCAGACGUUCAAUUCAUUAUCACGACACGUUGGAGCCUGAAAGAAUUAUUAUGAUAAUUUCUGGAAAAGCCACUAAAACAUACAAACUUAGUAAAACAAAUUGGUCAGUAGAGUUGCACAUAGUCUUUUAAAUCUAUUUCAGUAUUUGUAAAAUAAUUCAUUUUGAAGCUGUUAUGCACUGUAAUUCCAGAAACUAAUUGAAGGAAAAACAUAGGACCCGGGGGAACUUGCAUAGUUACUUAUUCUUCUUUUAGUGAGGUGCUCACAUGUGACAUAGUGGCAUAAUGACGUAUGCUAAUCACAUAAUUUUACAUAAACCCCCUAAUGAAUUAUAUAAAUAAAGAGUGCUUAAUCAAACAACAUAUUAGUCACAUAUUACUGAAAUAUUAAAUACACAGCACUCCUCCCUGCUUACCUAUGAACUCUAACUUAACACAGAAUGUACCUCAACUCAAAUAUCUAUCAAUCUCGGGUGCCUAAAAUGUUUGCAUAUUACUGUAUUUGUAAGUGUGGGGGGAAGAAAGGAUUUCGGAAAUAGUGAGGGUGGAGGGGUGUGGGACAGAUGGAAAAGACAGAGUGCAGGGGCAUGGGUGCAAGGACACCAUCCCUGAGACACCAGGCAAGGAAAUGUGAUUCCAAACAAUUGGUUUAUUGAUUGUUACAAGGAUGUCUCUCUGGUUCUUCCUUCUCCCUUCCCUAUC